UUUACACACAGGAGGAGAGAAGAAGGAGCUUUCGAGUUAGAGAUUUCUUGUGACAUUCCAGAUCUUUUAUCGGGUUUAACUAAACCCAGUAUGGGUACUGAAUAGAUUAUCCCUUAGUAGUAUCACUGUCACGAUGAGUAUGUACUUCGAAAACAUUAUAUAAUUCUGGGGUAGUGGGGAAUUUUAUUUGAGACUAAAAAAGAAAAAAAGAAAAAAAGCUCAGAUAUCUUAUUCCUCUCUUUUUCGUUUGGUGCUUCUCUGGUAAUUGGAGAAAAUUGAGAUAAAUUGACCGAAAUCAUGCAUGAGGGAAUUCUGUAGAGAUUUGAUUACUUGGAGUUGCACAUAUUAUUGAUCUUGGCUGGUUUUUAUAAACAAGGCUUGAUAUGGAGCCCUAGCUAGUUUGAGUAUUGUCAACUGCUAAUGCAUGUGAAUGGUCGAUACCCAAGUACUAGGUACUUGUUGCGCACCGUACGGAAGGAAGUGCAUCUUUUUAUCACAAUUUCUUACAAAGUGCAGUGAGUUUUACAUGGUACGUAAAUGGGGAAAUGUAAAGAUUUUAGUAUGGUCCAUGAUUUUCCAUAAAUUCCUUUUUGGCUGUGAGCUAGCCACACUUGAGUUAGGAUAAAUUAGCUUAGAUGUAUGUACACGUACCUAAACUUGUCUUAGAAAUUGACUUCAUUUUGUGGACUUUGAUGUUAAUAUUUAUUUACUGCUUG